GGGAAUCUCAAAUAGUUAUCGACACAUGCUAAUAGUAAAGUGAUAAACCAUAUCAGGAGAAAUUACUCAAGAAGAUGAGGAAAAAUCUUGUGAUAAAAGAUUCCGAGUCUCAUCAAAUAGAUUUCGCAUGUCGCCUUCUCGGGUCGCAAUCUUCUACAUGUCCGUCUGUCGGCAAAACCUGUCUUUAAUUCAAUGAUCAUACCCGCUUUUAUUUACUUUCGCUGCGUGUAAUACUACUAUUUAUGAUGAUGUAAUAAAAUGAGUUUUGUUGAGACCAGUAAUUAGUUUUUGUAGAAAAAUACAUCGAUUACUAAUAUGGAUAAAAACAUAAACGAGCCACCUUUUUUAUUCACGUGGUCUUUCAUGCGUAUUGCACCUGGAGCCAACGAAAGCUGAUUUGUUCUUCCUCCUCAGUUCUCUCCCUCUUGUUACUUAUUUCGUGC
rnacentral:lncRNA from 1 species